rnacentral:rRNA from 1 species
UUGCCUCAGUAACGGCGAGUGAAGCGGCAACAGCUCAAAUUUGAAAUCUGGCUUCGGUCCGAGUUGUAAUUUGUAGAGGAUGCUUCGGCUUACGUACCGGUCUAAGUUCCUUGGAACAGGACGUCACAGAGGGUGAGAAUCCCGUUUGUGGCCGGCACUUCCGCCAUGUGAAGCUCCUUCGACGAGUCGAGUUGUUUGGGAAUGCAGCUCUAAAUGGGAGGUAAAUUUCUUCUAAAGCUAAAUACCGGCCAGAGACCGAUAGCGCACAAGUAGAGUGAUCGAAAGAUGAAAAGCACUUUGGAAAGAGAGUUAAAAAGUACGUGAAAUUGUUGAAAGGGAAGCGCUUGCGACCAGACUUGCCCGCGGAUGCUCAACCGGUCCUUCGGCCGGUGCACUCUUCCGCGGUCAGGCCAGCAUCAGUUCGGGCGGUCGGAUAAAGGCCUUGGGAAUGUGGCUCUCUUCGGGGAGUGUUAUAGCCCUUGGUGCAAUACGGCCCGCCUGGACUGAGGCCCGCGCUUCGGCUAGGAUGCUGGCGUAAUGGUCGUAAGCGGCCCGUCUUGAAACACGGACCAAGGAGUCUAACAUCUAUGCGAGUGUUUGGGUGUCAAACCCGUGCGCGAAAUGAAAGUGAACGGAGGUGGGAACCUUAGGGUGCACCAUCGACCGAUCCUGAUGUCUUCGGAUGGAUUUGAGUAAGAGCAUAGCUGUUGGGACCCGAAAGAUGGUGAACUAUGCCUGAAUAGGGUGAAGCCAGAGGAAACUCUGGUGGAGGCUCGCAGCGGUUCUGACGUGCAAAUCGAUCGUCAAAUUUGGGUAUAGGGGCGAAAGACUAAUCGAACCAU